rnacentral:rRNA from 1 species
CGGCGAAAGCCGGAUUAAUACCGCAUACGCCCGAGAGGGGAAAGUGGGGGACCGCAAGGCCUCACGCGAUUGGGUUGGCCGAUGUCCGAUUAGCUAGUUGGCGGGGUAAGAGCCCACCAAGGCGAUGAUCGGUAGCUGGUCUGAGAGGAUGAUCAGCCACACUGGGACUGAGACACGGCCCAGACUCCUACGGGAGGCAGCAGUGGGGAAUUUUGGACAAUGGGGGCAACCCUGAUCCAGCCAUUCCGCGUGAGUGAAGAAGGCCUUCGGGUUGUAAAGCUCUUUUGUCCGGAACGAAACGGUGAGCGUGAAUAUCGCUCGCUACUGACGGUACCGGAAGAAUAAGCACC